GAUAUUCUUUUAAUUUGAAUAAUCAUUUUUUGCGUAGAUUCGGGCAACUUUCUAGAGGGAUUAGGCGAGAAGUUAGCCCCGGUUUCUUCUAAUCAAAGGUUUAGAUAUAGAUUAUUCUAUUUAUUUUAUUUCCCGAAAGGUUGGGCUGACUUCAUCGCCCGGUCAGUACAAGAAUGGAUCCUGCUGAAGCCAUCUCCGACUUCGAUUUCUUUUCUUUAAUUGAAGCAGGGCUAAUUCUUUUUCUUGAGAGACGGGAAGAGGAGUGGCACGAACGGUAACAUAGAAAUGUUGUUUUCCUUUCAGUUUUUUCGGUAUUUUUUUCUUGUAAAUGGAGAUGAGAAGCCUGUCUGGGAGAUUUUUAAAUUAAUGGUGGAUAAGUGGGUAGUUCUUAUGUGUUCAUGAAAUGCGUGGAUAAAAAGUGAUUUGAUCAAUUGUAAACUUGUUUAUAAACAUUAGACAAACGUGGGUGUAAUCUAUAUAUAUGUUUUUCGGAUUUUAUUGUGUGUGGAAUAUAUGUUGUAGACAAAAAAUGUGUAAUCUUUU
rnacentral:lncRNA from 1 species